rnacentral:rRNA from 1 species
AGUGAACGCUGGCGGUAGGCCUAACACAUGCAAGUCGAACGGCAACACAGUAAGAGCUUGCGCUUACGGGUGGCGAAUGGCGGAAGGAUGAGGAAUAUAUCCGACUCUACUUUUUCGUAGGACAUAACGUAGGGAAAGUUACGCUAAUACCGCAUACGACGUACCGUUGAAAGCAUGGGAUCGUCGCGCCUUGCGCGAUUGAAUGAGCCGCUGUGGGAUUAGCUAGUUGGCGGGGUGAAGGCCCACCAAGGCGACGAUCCGUAGCUGGUCUGGGAGGAUGAUCGGCCACACUGGAACGGAGACACGGUCCAGACGCCUACGGGAGGCAGCAGUGUGGAAUAUGGGGCAAUGGGCGCAAGCCUGAUCCAGCGAUCCCGAGUGUGUGACGAAGGCCUCGGGGUCGUAAAGCCCGUUUGUUGGGAAAGAAAAGCAGCCGGCUGAUACCCCGCUGUUCUGACGGUACCCAAAGAAUAAGCACCGGCUAACUACGUG